AUCGAACGCUGGCGGCAGGCUUAACACAUGCAAGUCGAGCGGGGUGAUGGUGCUUGCACUAUCACUUAGCGGCGGACGGGUGAGUAAUGCUUAGGAAUCUGCCUAUUAGUGGGGGACAACAUCUCGAAAGGGAUGCUAAUACCGCAUACGUCCUACGGGAGAAAGCAGGGGAUCACUUGUGACCUUGCGCUAAUAGAUGAGCCUAAGUCGGAUUAGCUAGUUGGUGGGGUAAAGGCCUACCAAGGCGACGAUCUGUAGCGGGUCUGAGAGGAUGAUCCGCCACAGUGGGACUGAGACACGGCCCAGACUCCUACGGGAGGCAGCAGUGGGGAAUAUUGGACAAUGGGGGGAACCCUGAUCCAGCCAUGCCGCGUGUGUGAAGAAGGCCUUAUGGUUGUAAAGCACUUCAAGCGAGGAGGAGGCUCUUUUGGUUAAUACCCAAGAUGAGUGGACGUUACUCGCAGAAUAAGCACCGGCUAACUCUGUGCCAGCAGCCGCCGUAA
rnacentral:rRNA from 1 species